CUGCUGACUGAACGAAUCGU
rnacentral:misc_RNA from 1 species